rfam:Myotis brandtii contig243318, whole genome shotgun sequence.
AGCGGUUCUUGCGUGACGUACCCCGGAAUUGGGCUCCCUCCUCUUUGGUUCCAGGUGCAUCACCCGAAAACCACA